GCAUAUCAAUAAGCGGAGGAAAAGAAACCAACAGGGAUUGCCCUAGUAACGGCGAGUGAAGCGGCAACAGCUCAAAUUUGAAAUCUGGCCCUCGGGUCCGAGUUGUAAUUUGUAGAGGAUGCUUUUGGUGAGGUACCUUCCGAGUUCCCUGGAACGGGACGCCAUAGAGGGUGAGAGCCCCGUCUGGUCGGAUACCAAUCCUCUGUAAAGCUCCUUCGACGAGUCGAGUAGUUUGGGAAUGCUGCUCUAAAUGGGAGGUAUAUGUCUUCUAAAGCUAAAUAUUGGCCAGAGACCGAUAGCGCACAAGUAGAGUGAUCGAAAGAUGAAAAGCACUUUGAAAAGAGGGUUAAACAGUACGUGAAAUUGUUGAAAGGGAAGCGCUUGUGACCAGACUUGGGCCCGGUUAAUCAUCCAGCGUUCUCGCUGGUGCACUUGGCCGGCCCAGGCCAGCAUCAGUUCGGUGUGGGGGAUAAAGGCGGCGGGAAUGUGGCUCCUCCGGGAGUGUUAUAGCCCACCGUGUAAUACCCUGUGCUGGACUGAGGUUCGCGCAUUCGCAAGGAUGCUGGCGUAAUGGUCAUUAGCGACCCGUCUUGAAACACGGACCAAGGAGUCGUCUUCGUAUGCGAGUGUUCGGGUGUUAAACCCCUACGCGUAAUGAAAGUGAACGCAGGUGAGAGCUUCGGCGCAUCAUCGACCGAUCCUGAUGUUCUCGGAUGGAUUUGAGUAAGAGCAUACGGGGCCGGACCCGAAAGAAGGUGAACUAUGCCUGUAUAGGGUGAAGCCAGAGGAAACUCUGGUGGAGGCUCGCAGCGGUUCUGACGUGCAAAUCGAUCGUCAAAUAUGGGCAUGGGGGCGAAAGACUAAUCGAACCUUCUAGUAGCUGGUUUCCGCGA
rnacentral:rRNA from 1 species